CUGAGAGUAGAACUGUAUUUGAGAUAUGGAAACUCCUAUCUUAUAUCUAAAAACCAUUGUUGCUACCUGGUUGAGCUCCAGUUCCACUUCCUGGGUGAUUGGGACCAUCCUCCCCAUCCUGUGUGGCCUGGUCCUCUUCCUCCGUUCCUUCCCUCCCUCCAGAGGAAUUCGUCCUUACAACCACCUUACAAAAGGAGAAAGGUCAGGAAGCGUCAAGUGCAGCCGAGAGGGAGGAGCAGCAGGAACAGCAAGAAAAGGGGAGCUUUGAAAGCUUACAGAGCUGGCCAGAAGGACAUGGCAGAAGUGGGGAGUCUGAUGUCCCCUUCGCAAAGCACACAGGGAAGAGGCCAUCUGAGGACACAACCAGAAGGAGGCCCUCUACAAGCCAGGAAGAGAGCCCUCGCCAGAAAUCAACCUGACGGCACCUUGAUCUUUGACUUCCAGCCUCCAGAACUCUGAG
rnacentral:lncRNA from 1 species